rnacentral:rRNA from 1 species
AGAGUUUGAUCAUGGCUCAGGACGAACGCUGGCGGCGUGCUUAACACAUGCAAGUCGAGGGAGAACUCCAGGAGGGGUAACCCUCCUGGGGGGAGACCGGCGAACGGGUGAGUAACACGUGGGCAACCUACCCCAGGCUCCGGGAUAACCUCGGGAAACCGGGGCUAAUACCGGAUACGCUGCUCGGACCGCAUGACCCGAGCAGGAAAGCUCCGGCGGCCUGGGACGGGCCCGCGGCCUAUCAGCUUGUUGGUGGGGUAAUGGCCCACCAAGGCGACGACGGGUAGCUGGCGUGAGAGCGUGGCCAGCCACACUGGGACUGAGACACGGCCCAGACUCCUACGGGAGGCAGCAGUGGGGAAUCUUGCGCAAUGGGGGCAACCCUGACGCAGCGACGCCGCGUGCGGGAUGAAGGCCUUCGGGUUGUAAACCGCUUUCAGCGGGGACGAAGCGAAAGUGACGGUACCCGCAGAAGAAGCCCCGGCUAACUACGUGCCAGCAGCCGCGGUAAGACGUAGGGGGCGAGCGUUGUCCGGAUUCAUUGGGCGUAAAGCGCGCGCAGGCGGCCCGGUAAGUCGGAUGUGAAAACCCGGGGCUCAACCCCGGGCGGUCAUUCGAUACUGCCAGGCUCGAGGCAGGUAGGGGAGAGCGGAAUUCCCGGUGUAGCGGUGAAAUGCGCAGAUAUCGGGAGGAACACCGGUGGCGAAGGCGGCUCUCUGGGCCUGUCCUGACGCUCAGGCGCGAAAGCUGGGGGAGCGAACAGGAUUAGAUACCCCGGUAGUCC